GAGUUUGAUCCUGGCUCAGAUUGAACGCUGGCGGCAGGCCUAACACAUGCAAGUCGAGCGGUAACAGAGAGAAGCUUGCUUCUUUGCUGACGAGCGGCGGACGGGUGAAUAACGCGUAGGAAUCUACCUAUUAGCGGGGGAUAAGCCAGAGAAAUUUGGUCUAAUACCGCAUACGCCCUACGGGGGAAAGGAGGGGAUCUUCGGACCUUUCGCUAUUAGAUGAGCCUGCGUAAGAUUAGCUAGUUGGUGAGGUAAUGGCUCACCAAGGCGACGAUCUUUAGCUGGUCUGAGAGGAUGAUCAGCCACACUGGGACUGAGACACGGCCCAGACUCCUACGGGAGGCAGCAGUGGGGAAUAUUGGACAAUGGGGGGAACCCUGAUCCAGCCAUGCCGCGUGUGUGAAGAAGGCCUUCGGGUUGUAAAGCACUUUCAGAUGUGAGGAAAGGUAAGUAGUUAAUACCUGCUUACUGUGACGUUAGCAUCAGAAGAAGGACCGGCUAACUCCGUGCCAGCAGCCGCGGUAAUACGGAGGGUCCGAGCGUUCAUCGGAAUUACUGGGCGUAAAGCGCGCGUAGGUGGUUUUG
rnacentral:rRNA from 1 species